UACGUAGGGGGCGAGCGUUGUCCGGAUUUAUUGGGCGUAAAGAGCUCGUAGGCGGUCUGUCGCGUCUGCUGUGAAAACUCAGGGCUUAACCCUGAGCUUGCAGUGGGUACGGGCAGACUAGAGUGCGGUAGGGGAGACUGGAAUUCCUGGUGUAGCGGUGAAAUGCGCAGAUAUCAGGAGGAACACCGGUGGCGAAGGCGGGUCUCUGGGCCGGAAAACUGAC
rnacentral:rRNA from 1 species